UACGUAGGGGGCUAGCGUUGUCCGGAUUCAUUGGGCGUAAAGGGUGUGUAGGUGGCGCGCUAAGUCGGGUGUGAAAUUUCGGAGCUUAACUCCGAAACUGCAUUCGAUACUGGCGUGCUUGAGGACUGGAGAGGAGACUGGAAUUCAUGGUGUAGCAGUGAAAUGCGUAGAGAUCAUGAGGAAGACCAGUGGCGAAGGCGGGUCUCGUGGACAGUUCCUGACACUGAGACACGAAGGCCAGGGGGAGCAAACGGG
rnacentral:rRNA from 1 species